rnacentral:rRNA from 1 species
UACGGAGGGUGCAAGCGUUAAUCGGAAUUACUGGGCGUAAAGGGUGUGUAGGUGGUAUUUCAAGCAAUCUGUGAAAGCCCCGGGCUCAACCUGGGAAGGUCAGAUUGGACUGAAGAACUAGAGUACUGUAGAGGGUAGUGGAAUUUCCGGUGUAGCGGUGAAAUGCGUAGAUAUCGGGAGGAACAUCAGUGGCGAAGGCGGCUACCUGGCCCAAUACUGAACACUCAGGUGCGACAGCCG